rnacentral:rRNA from 1 species
UACGUAGGGGGCAAGCGUUGUCCGGAAUCAUUGGGCGUAAAGAGCGUGUAGGCGGCCUGGUAAGUCCGCUGUGAAAGUCCAGGGCUCAACCCUGGAAUGCCGGUGGAAACUGUCAGGCUCGAGUCCGGAAGAGGCGAGUGGAAUUCCUGGUGUAGCGGUGAAAUGCGCAGAUAUCAGGAGGAACACCAAUGGCGAAGGCAGCUCGCUGGGACGGUACUGACGCUGAGACGCGAAGGCGUGGGGAGCAAACAGG